rnacentral:rRNA from 1 species
GCUUACGGACAUACCACCCUGAGCGCGCCCGAUCUCGUCUGAUCUCGGAAGCUGAGCAGGGUCGGGCCUGGUUAGUACUUGGGUGGGAGACCGCCUGGGAAUACCAGGUGCUGUAAGCUUUU